ACCUCAGCCAUUGGGUCUUCAGCGACGUUGCUCCGUCCCUCCUGCUGUCUCCCCGUUCUGGAUGGUCGACUCCCCUCGUGCCUGAUGGUCGCAGGCAGUUUCCGUCUCUCGGUCUCUUGGUGCUGCGCUCCUGGGGAUUCCUCGGCUCCUCUUCGCGUUCCUGGCGGCUCUCUCCAGCUCUGCUCCGUGAAGAUGGUCAGCCCCCCAUUUGAAUUUGUAGCUGUGAUUCUAAUUUCCCAUGUUCCUGAUGGGCUUGUUACCUGACGUGCUCUUACCUCGCGACCUUCUGCGGUAUCGGGGUUGGGGUCCCUUCGGUCUCCUGGAGGACCUUAAAGAAAGCGACUCUAAAAUGCUUUCCAAAUUGCUCUGAGGCUCUGCUUUCUCAGCGAGCUGUCCUUCCAUUUGCGAAACGUGUUUGCCUCAUCAGUGCUCUGUGACGCCUGGUUAAGAGGCUAUCCGGGGAUUCUGCAAAGCCCAGGGCCACCUGCCAGCGGCCUCCGCUUGGCUCCUGACACGGGUUUCCUCAGAAGCGUCCAUGAUGGGCCUGCACAUCACCUGAGGGUCGCGUCUCUGGGACAGUCCCUUUGAGCCUGGUGACUCUGUGGCUUUGGUGCUCGCCACGACCCUGAAGGGUGGACGUAGCGGGUCUGGUCUCUCCAUUCGCAGACACUGCAGGUCCUGAUGCCGGCCCGGCUCCGGCCCCAGCCCGGCUCAGCCCUUCCGCCGUGGCCCACACCCUGCACGCGCAGCUCCACUCUCUUCCCAGCCCGGGGACUGCCAGCCUCUGCCUCCUGUCCCCUGUCUUGGAAGGACUGGUCUCCGUGUGUCCGCAAACAUGUCCUCUUAGGUUAUUCAUUUCUGGGACUCUCAGGCCUCUGGUUUGGAGCUGAAGGUUUCCACCUUCUCCAACCAGCAGCAGGUGACCUGUCUGCAUGCUCACUGGAGGUUGCCCCCAGCCGGUGCGCAGAGACGCACCCCCGGAGCUGCGGGUCGUUCCUCGACUUGAACCGCAGCUCCUUGCACAGGCUGUUCGGACCUGCUGGUGGGGAGCCUGGCUCGGCCUGGGGCGAAGAGCUAAAGGUGGACGCGGCUGCCGUGUUUGCCGAGAGUCCAGUUUGAAGCCUGGAUGCCCUUCUGCUCCCUUUACGUCACUCACAGGUCCCGCUGGAGACGAGACUCUGAAGCCUGGCUGCCCUGGGGCUCCGGCUCCUGCACGGCCUCCUCCGGGUCCCACCUGCGUGCGUGGCUCUGCACUUGGCCCGAGCCCAGCAGCUUGGCAGGACAGGACCUCAGCCUCCCCUGGGCCCCCUACCAGGAUCCCCCACCAGGGGCCACUUGCUGAGCCUGGAGCCCCUGCUGACCACUGGCUAGCAGGACACAAAGACGGAGCCACACAGAGUGGGGCUGGGAGGGGCCCUCGCACAGGUCUCCUCCGCCCUUGGGUCUUCAUAGCAGGUGCAACAGAUUCCAGGCAAAGCUCCCCCAGGUGAGUGUGUGCCUGUCAGAGCCGUGCCCCCGGGUAGAGCGAGCAGAGACCAGGGCAGGCGAGGGUCAGGGAGGCAAUGCUGGGGGGCUCCCUGAGCAGUGGGGAGUCCCCACCCCCGGGGAGACCGGGCCCCGGAGGGAACGCAUAACCCGCAUCCGUGGUCUCCAGGUUAAAGUCCACUUGGGGGUAGAGGCCUUCUUCCGGCGGUGCGGCCGCCCCUCGCCCAGGCCGUACGCCCCUCCUCGGGGUCGGCGGGGAGAGCUCUUGGACCAGCGCUCCCCCGGCGGCCCCGCUCCUCCGGC
rnacentral:lncRNA from 1 species